UACGUAGGGGGCGAGCGUUGUCCGGAGUUACUGGGCGUAAAGCGCACGCAGGCGGUCUGCUAAGUUUGGAGUGACAGUUGGUGGCUUAACUGCCAAAGUGCUUCGAAAAACUGACAGACUUGAGGGCUUCAGAGGGACACGGAAUUCCGGGUGGAGUGGUGAAAUGCGUAGAGAUCCGGAGGAACACCAAAGGCGAAGGCAGUGUCCUGGGGAGUACCUGACGCUCAGGUGCGAAAGCCAGGGGAGCGAACGGG
rnacentral:rRNA from 1 species